rnacentral:rRNA from 1 species
CGCUUAACUGCGAGAAUGACGGUUCGAGCAGGUGCGAAAGCAGKUCAUAGUGAUCCGGUGGUUCUGAAUGGAAGGGCCAUCGCUCAACGGAUAAAAGGUACUCCGGGGAUAACAGGCUGAUACCGCCCAAGAGUUCAUAUCGACGGCGGUGUUUUGGCACCUCGAUGUCGGCUCAUCACAUCCUGGGGCUGAAGUCGGUCCCAAGGGUAUGGCUGUUCGCCAUUUAAAGUGGUACGCGAGCUGGGUUUAGAACGUCGUGAGACGAGUUCGGUCCCUAUCUGCCGUGGGCGUUGGAAGAUUGAAGGGGGCUGCUCCUAGUACGAGAGGACCGGAGUGGACGAACCUCUGGUGUUCGGGUUGUGUCGCCAGACGCAUUGCCCGGUAGCUAAGUUCGGAAUCGAUAACCGCUGAAAGCAUCUAAGCGGGAAGCGAGCCCUGAGAUGAGUCUUCCCUGAUACUUUAAGUAUCCUAGAAGGGUUGUUCGAGACUAGAACGUUGAUAGGCAGGGUGUGUAAG